rnacentral:lncRNA from 1 species
CCCUAACUCUAGCUAAUGGUUUAGAAAUACAUAAUGAAAUGUUACAAAGAAAAUAAAGGAAACUAGAAUAUGAUGGGAGAGGAAUUGAUGCUCUCAAAAUCAUGGCCAAGGUCCCCUUCUAUAGGCAAAGGAACAUCCAAAAUUCAAGUAGGUAAUGCAACUUGUUUUUGUCCAGUUUCAAGACAGAUAGAAUAUGCAACUUGAUGCCAAUUUUCAGAUACAUUGUGCAGCGACUUUGGACUUAUGAUCAAUAGAUUAAUUAUUGCCACUUGAGUUAUCUUUCCAUUGGUUCAAAUAUCAGGUUCAUUGGAUCUAUAUAACUCCAAAUAUGACAAAAAAUGAGUGCUGCUUCACAGGUAAAGUUGUAUCCGGCAGGUAACAAGAUGAACUUUGCACGGUAAUUUUGGCUCCCUUUUGAUACGAAUUUGACUUUUUCCAAAACAUGAAAGUUGUAGAAACAUGCCUUAUCUUUCUAACCCACUUUGAAUCACCUCAGUUCAAUGUCUAAAACUCAAGUUAUGAUCAUUUUACCGACAACUGCUUCUUGCUUGAGACAGUCACUAUUCUUGACUUUUCAACAUUAUUUUCCUUCACUUGCUCCACUUGU